rnacentral:rRNA from 1 species
UACGUAGGGGGCAAGCGUUGUCCGGAUUUAUUGGGCGUAAAGGGUCCGCAGGCGGUUUGGCAAGUUUGACGUGACAGUUCCUGGCUCAACUGGGAAAGUGCGUUGGAAACUGCCAGACUUGAGGGCUUCAGAGGGAUGCGGAAUUCCGGGUGGAGUGGUGAAAUGCGUAGAUAUCCGGAGGAACACCAAAGGCGAAGGCAGCAUCCUGGGAAGUCACUGACGCUCAGGGACGAAAGCUAGGGGAGCGAACGGG